rnacentral:rRNA from 1 species
UACGAAGGGGGCUAGCGUUGUUCGGAAUUACUGGGCGUAAAGCGCGCGUAGGCGGUGAUCUUUGUCAGAGGUGAAAGCCCGGGGCUCAACUCCGGAAUUGCCUUUGAAACGGGAUCGCUUGAGUACGAGAGAGGAUGGCGGAAUUCCUAGUGUAGAGGUGAAAUUCGUAGAUAUUAGGAAGAACACCGGUGGCGAAGGCGGCCAUCUGGCUCAAUACUGACGCUCAGACACGAAAGCGUGGGGAGCAAACAGG